GUAGUCCACGCCGUAAACGAUGGGUGCUAGAUAUCGGGACUUAUGUUUCGGUGUCGUAGCUAACGCGUUAAGCACCCCGCCUGGGGAGUACGGUCGCAAGAUUAAAACUCAAAGGAAUUGACGGGGACCCGCACAAGUGGUGGAGCAUGUGGUUUAAUUCGAUGCUACGCGAAAAACCUUACCACCUUUUGACAUCCCUCCUACCGGAGUCCGUUAUAGGGCUCCUUCGGUUCGGCCGGGGAGGAGACAGGUGUUGCAUGGCUGUCGUCAGCUCGUGUCGUGAGAUGUUGGGUUAAGUCCCGCAACGAGCGCAACCCUCGUCCUUAGUUACCAGCACGUUAUGGUGGGCACUCUAAGGAAACUGCCCGUGAUAAGCGGGA
rnacentral:rRNA from 1 species